rnacentral:rRNA from 1 species
UACCCGCUGGAACUUAAGCAUAUCAAUAAGCGGAGGAAAAGAAACCAACAGGGAUUGCCCCAGUAACGGCGAGUGAAGCGGCAACAGCUCAAAUUUGAAAUCUGGCCCUCGGGUCCGAGUUGUAAUUUGUAGAGGAUGCUUUUGGCGCGGUGCCUUCCGAGUUCCCUGGAACGGGACGCCUUAGAGGGUGAGAGCCCCGUACGGUUGGACACCAAGCCUCUGUAAAGCUCCUUCGACGAGUCGAGUAGUUUGGGAAUGCUGCUCUAAAUGGGAGGUAAAUUUCUUCUAAAGCUAAAUAUUGGCCAGAGACCGAUAGCGCACAAGUAGAGUGAUCGAAAGAUGAAAAGCACUUUGAAAAGAGGGUUAAAUAGCACGUGAAAUUGUUGAAAGGGAAGCGUUUGCGACCAGACCUCUCCCCGGCGGAUCAUCCGGCGUUCUCGCCGGUGCACUCCGCCGGGCUGAGGCCAGCAUCGGUUCCCGCGGGGGGACAAAAGCGGGGGGAACGUAGCUCCCUCGGGAGUGUUAUAGCCCUCCGCAUAAUACCCUCGCGGGGACCGAGGACCGCGCUUCGGCAAGGAUGCUGGCGUAAUGGUCGUCAACGACCCGUCUUGAAACACGGACCAAGGAGUCGAACAUUUGUGCGAUUUUGUGGGGGGUGGGAAA